rnacentral:rRNA from 1 species
CACGUAGGCGGAUCGUUAAGUCGGGGGUGAAAUCCUGGAGCUCAACUCCAGAACUGCCUUCGAUACUGGCGAUCUUGAGUCCGGAAGAGGUGAGUGGAAUUCCUAGUGUAGAGGUGGAAUUCGUAGAUAUUAGGAAGAACACCAGUGGCGAAGGCGGCUCACUGGUCCGGUACUGACGCUGAGGUGCGAAAGCGUGGGGAGCAAACA